rnacentral:rRNA from 1 species
AUUGAACGCUGGCGGCAUGCUUUACACAUGCAAGUCGAACGGUAACAGGCCUUCGGGUGCUGACGAGUGGCGAACGGGUGAGUAAUGCAUCGGAACGUACCCAGAGGUGGGGGAUAACGCAGCGAAAGCUGUGCUAAUACCGCAUGUGAUCUGAGGAUGAAAGCGGGGGACCGAGCAGCAAUGUUUGGCCUCGCGCCUUUGGAGCGGCCGAUGUCGGAUUAGCUAGUUGGUGGGGUAAAGGCCUACCAAGGCGACGAUCCGUAGCUGGUCUGAGAGGACGACCAGCCACACUGGGACUGAGACACGGCCAAGAGUCCUACGGGAGGCAGCAGAGGGGAAUUUUGGACAAUGGGCGCAAGCCUGAUCCAGCAAUGCCGCGUGCGGGAAGAGGGCCUUCGGGUUGUAAACCGCUUUUGGCAGGAACGAAACGGUGUCCGCUAAUACCGGGCGCUAAUGACGGUACCUGCAGAAUAAGCACCGGCUAACUACGUG